AGUGAACGCUGGCGGUAGGCCUAACACAUGCAAGUCGAACGGCAGCACAGUAAGAGCUUGCUCUUACGGGUGGCGAGUGGCGGACGGGUGAGGAAUACAUCGGAAUCUACUUUUUCGUGGGGGAUCACGUAGGGAAACUUACGCUAAUACCGCAUACGACCUACGGGUGAAAGCAGGGGAUCUUCUGACCUUGCGCGAUUGAAUGAGCCGAUGUCGGAUUAGCUAGUUGGCGGGGUAAAUGCCCACCAAGGCGCCGAUCCGUAGCUGGUCUGAGAGGAUGAUCAGCCACACUGGAGCUGAGACACGGUCCAGACGCCUACGGGAGGCAGCAGUGGGGAAUAUGGGACAAUGGGCGCAAGCCUGAUCCAGCCAUACCGCGUGGGUGAAGAAGGCCUUCGGGUUGUAAAGCCCUUUUGUUGGGAAAGAAAAGCAGCAGGUUAAUACCCCGCUGUUCUGACGGUACCCAAAGAAUAAGCACCGGCUAACUUCGUG
rnacentral:rRNA from 1 species